rnacentral:rRNA from 1 species
UUGCACGCUGGCGGCAGGCCUAACACAUGCAAGUCGAGCGGAUGAAGGGAGCUUGCUCCUGGAUUCAGCGGCGGACGGGUGAGUAAUGCCUAGGAAUCUGCCUGGUAGUGGGGGAUAACGUCCGGAAACGGGCGCUAAUACCGCAUACGUCCUGAGGGAGAAAGUGGGGGAUCUUCGGACCUCACGCUAUCCGAUGAGCCUAGGUCGGAUUAGCUAGUUGGUGGGGUAAAGGCCUACCAAGGCGACGAUCCGUAACUGGUCUGAGAGGAUGAUCAGUCACACUGGAACUGAGACACGGUCCAGACUCCUACGGGAGGCAGCAGUGGGGAAUAUUGGACAAUGGGCGAAAGCCUGAUCCAGCCAUGCCGCGUGUGUGAAGAAGGUCUUCGGAUUGUAAAGCACUUUAAGUUGGGAGGAAGGGCAGUAAGUUAAUACCUUGCUGUUUUGACGUUACCAACAGAAUAAGCACCGGCUAACUUCGUG